GUCAGCUGACACAUUCCAGCCAAUCAGCAGCAGACCCUCCCUCCCAGACCCUGCCACCUCCUGGACAGCAUCCAUUUUGUAGCUGCAUUCUUAGUGAGCUGUCCAGGAGGUGGGAGGGUCUGGGAGGGAGGGUCUGCUGCUGAUUGGCUGGAAUGUGUCAUCUG
rnacentral:miRNA from 1 species